GGAAUGAGCGGCGGACGGGUGAGUAACACGUAAGGAACCUGCCUCAAGGAUUGGGAUAACUCCGAGAAAUCGGAGCUAAUACCGGAUAGUUCAUCGGACCGCAUGGUCCGUUGAUGAAAGGCGCUUCGGCGUCACCUUGAGAUGGCCUUGCGGUGCAUUAGCUAGUUGGUGGGGUAACGGCCCACCAAGGCGACGAUGCAUAGCCGACCUGAGAGGGUGAUCGGCC
rnacentral:rRNA from 1 species